rnacentral:rRNA from 1 species
NUAAGUUAGAAAGGGCGCACGGUGGAUGCCUUGACACUAGGAGUCGAUGAAGGACGGGACUAACGCCGAUAUGCUUCGGGGAGCUGUAAGUAAGCUUUGAUCCGAAGAUUUCCGAAUGGGGAAACCCACCAUACGUAAUGGUAUGGUAUCCUUAUCUGAAUACAUAGGGUAAGGAAGACAGACCCAGGGAACUGAAACAUCUAAGUACCUGGAGGAAGAGAAAGCAAAUGCGAUUUCCUGAGUAGCGGCGAGCGAAACGGAACAUAGCCCAAACCAAGAGGCUUGCCUCUUGGGGUUGUAGGACAUUCUAUACGGAGUUACAAAGGAACGAGGUAGACGAAGCGACCUGGAAAGGUCCGUCGUAGAGGGUAACAACCCCGUAGUCGAAACUUCGUUCUCUCUUGAAUGUAUCCUGAGUACGGCGGAACACGUGAAAUUCCGUCGGAAUCUGGGAGGACCAUCUCCCAAGGCUAAAUACUCCCUAGUGAUCGAUAGUGAACCAGUACCGUGAGGGAAAGGUGAAAAGCACCCCGGAAGGGGAGUGAAAGAGAUCCUGAAACCGUGUGCCUACAAAUAGUCAGAGCCCGUUAACGGGUGAUGGCGUGCCUUUUGUAGAAUGAACCGGCGAGUUACGAUCCCGUGCGAGGUUAAGCUGAAGAGGCGGAGCCGCAGCGAAAGCGAGUCUGAAUAGGGCGUUUAGUACGUGGUCGUAGACCCGAAACCAGGUGAUCUACCCAUGUCCAGGGUGAAGUUCAGGUAACACUGAAUGGAGGCCCGAACCCACGCACGUUGAAAAGUGCGGGGAUGAGGUGUGGGUAGCGGAGAAAUUCCAAUCGAACCUGGAGAUAGCUGGUUCUCCCCGAAAUAGCUUUAGGGCUAGCCUUAAGUGUAAGAGUCUUGGAGGUAGAGCACUGAUUGGACUAGGGGUCCUCAUCGGAUUACCGAAUUCAGUCAAACUCCGAAUGCCAAUGACUUAUCCUUAGGAGUCAGACUGCGAGUGAUAAGAUCCGUAGUCAAAAGGGAAACAGCCCAGACCGCCAGCUAAGGUCCCAAAGUGUGUAUUAAGUGGAAAAGGAUGUGGAGUUGCUUAGACAACUAGGAUGUUGGCUUAGAAGCAGCCACCAUUUAAAGAGUGCGUAAUAGCUCACUAGUCGAGUGACUCUGCGCCGAAAAUGUACCGGGGCUAAAUACACCACCGAAGCUGCGGAUUGAUACCAAUGGUAUCAGUGGUAGGGGAGCGUUCUAAGGACAGUGAAGUCAGACCGUAAGGACUGGUGGAGUGCUUAGAAGUGAGAAUGCCGGUAUGAGUAGCGAAAGACGGGUGAGAAUCCCGUCCACCGAAUGCCUAAGGUUUCCUGAGGAAGGCUCGUCCGCUCAGGGUUAGUCAGGACCUAAGCCGAGGCCGACAGGCGUAGGCGAUGGACAACAGGUUGAUAUUCCUGUACCACCUCUUUAUCGUUUGAGCAAUGGAGGGACGCAGAAGGAUAGAAGAAGCGUGCGAUUGGUUGUGCACGUCCAAGCAGUUAGGCUGAUAAGUAGGCAAAUCCGCUUAUCGUGAAGGCUGAGCUGUGAUGGGGAAGCUCCUUAUGGAGCGAAGUCUUUGAUUCCCCGCUGCCAAGAAAAGCUUCUAGCGAGAUAAAAGGUGCCUGUACCGCAAACCGACACAGGUAGGCGAGGAGAGAAUCCUAAGGUGUGCGAGAGAACUCUGGUUAAGGAACUCGGCAAAAUGACCCCGUAACUUCGGGAGAAGGGGUGCUUUCUUAACGGAAAGCCGCAGUGAAUAGGCCCAAGCGACUGUUUAGCAAAAACACAGCUCUCUGCGAAGCCGUAAGGCGAAGUAUAGGGGGUGACACCUGCCCGGUGCUGGAAGGUUAAGGAGAGGGGUUAGCGUAAGCGAAGCUCUGAACUGAAGCCCCAGUAAACGGCGGCCGUAACUAUAACGGUCCUAAGGUAGCGAAAUUCCUUGUCGGGUAAGUUCCGACCCGCACGAAAGGUGUAACGAUUUGGGCACUGUCUCAACCAGAGACUCGGUGAAAUUAUAGUACCUGUGAAGAUGCAGGUUACCCGCGACAGGACGGAAAGACCCCGUGGAGCUUUACUGUAGCCUGAUAUUGAAUUUUGGUACAGUUUGUACAGGAUAGGCGGGAGCCAUUGAAACCGGAGCGCUAGCUUCGGUGGAGGCGCUGGUGGGAUACCGCCCUGACUGUAUUGAAAUUCUAACCUACGGGUCUUAUCGACCCGGGAGACAGUGUCAGGUGGGCAGUUUGACUGGGGCGGUCGCCUCCUAAAGUGUAACGGAGGCGCCCAAAGGUUCCCUCAGAAUGGUUGGAAAUCAUUCGUAGAGUGCAAAGGCAUAAGGGAGCUUGACUGCGAGACCUACAAGUCGAGCAGGGACGAAAGUCGGGCUUAGUGAUCCGGUGGUUCCGCAUGGAAGGGCCAUCGCUCAACGGAUAAAAGCUACCCCGGGGAUAACAGGCUUAUCUCCCCCAAGAGUCCACAUCGACGGGGAGGUUUGGCACCUCGAUGUCGGCUCAUCGCAUCCUGGGGCUGUAGUCGGUCCCAAGGGUUGGGCUGUUCGCCCAUUAAAGCGGUACGCGAGCUGGGUUCAGAACGUCGUGAGACAGUUCGGUCCCUAUCCGUCGUGGGCGUAGGAAAUUUGAGAGGAGCUGUCCUUAGUACGAGAGGACCGGGAUGGACGCACCGCUGGUGUACCAGUUGUUCUGCCAAGGGCAUAGCUGGGUAGCUAUGUGCGGAAGGGAUAAGUGCUGAAAGCAUCUAAGCAUGAAGCCCCCCUCAAGAUGAGAUUUCCCAUAGCGUAAGCUAGUAAGAUCCCUGAAAGAUGAUCAGGUUGAUAGGUUCGAGGUGGAAGCAUGGUGACAUGUGGAGCUGACGAAUACUAAUAGAUCGAGGACUUAACCAU